GCGAGCCGGCGGGGGCUGGCCGGGCGGGGGCAGCUGUCAAACCCUGCGGGGGCUUCGGGAACCCGGGGAAGAGGACCUGAGACCCGAGGCCCGCUGCCUGGGAUGUUUGCCUCGCGUGCCUGGGUCUCGGGCGCUGCUCGGUGAUGAUGGAGACGGGGACCCCUCCUCACCAUGUCUGGUUGUCGGCGACCCAGAUGCCAUGAGAUGGUCAUUUGAAGACAGGACUUCUGGACAUCAGGUUAACUUUUCCUCAGGUCCUUGUUCAACUCCCCACUGGCCGUGGCAAGUGGCGCCCAAACGUGGGGCUCAAGGUAUGAAGUGUGACCUGGUUGUUGCUCAAGUGGACUGCCGUCCCAGCCAUUGGACCACCACCCCAACAGGGGUGAUUGAAGGUUGGCAUAGAUCACUACAGGCAAUACACCUGUAAUACAGAUCUGCUCUGUGAUCACCACAGAAAAACCCACCUGUGAUACAGAUCUGCUAAGAUUAAAGCCAUUAAGAUGCAGCCUUUACAGGUCCAUUAUCACAGACUGGAGCUGGCG